UUGCCAGAAAAAUAGGAAAAAGUUGUAGAAGACGAAGGAAGAUAUUUUGAUUAAUGUAACUCCUUUGAUUCUCUUGGAAUAAAUAAAUAAUCGCAAACCUUUCAGUGAAA